GCAUCUUUGGCAGCACAUAUCCUAAAAUUGGAAUGAUACAGAGAAGAUUAACAUGGCCCUUGCACAAGGAUGAUAUGCAAAUUAGUGAAGCAUUCUGUGUUUUU